CCUACGGGUGGCAGCAGUGGGGAAUAUUGGGCAAUGGGCGCAAGCCUGACCCAGCAACGCCGCGUGAAGGAAGAAGGCUUUCGGGUUGUAAACUUCUAUUCUCAGGGACGAAGAAAUUGACGGUACCUCAGGAAUAAGCAACUGCUAACUACGUGCCAGCAGCCGCGGUAAUACGUAGGUGGCAAGCGUUAUCCGGAUUUACUGGGUGUAAAGGGAGUGUAGGCGGGACUGCAAGUCAGAUGUGAAAAGCACGGGCUCAACCUGUGGACUGCAUUUGAAACUGUAGAUCUUGAGUCCGGGAGAGGUAGACGGAAUUCCUAGUGUAGCGGUGAAAUGCGUAGAUAUUAGGAGGAACACCAGUGGCGAAGGCGGUCUACUGGACAGCAACUGACGCUGAGGCGCGAAAGCGUGGGGAGCAAACAGGAUUAGAUACCCUUGUAGUC
rnacentral:rRNA from 1 species